CGACUUAUAUUCUGUAGCAAGGUUAACCGAAUAGGGGAGCCGAAGGGAAACCGAGUCUUAACUGGGCGUUAAGUUGCAGGGUAUAGACCCGAAACCCGGUGAUCUAGCCAUGGGCAGGUUGAAGGUUGGGUAACACUAACUGGAGGACCGAACCGACUAAUGUUGAAAAAUUAGCGGAUGACUUGUGGCUGGGGGUGAAAGGCCAAUCAAACCGGGAGAUAGCUGGUUCUCCCCGAAAGCUAUUUAGGUAGCGCCUCGUGAAUUCAUCUCCGGGGGUAGAGCACUGUUUCGGCAAGGGGGUCAUCCCGACUUACCAACCCGAUGCAAACUGCGAAUACCGGAGAAUGUUAUCACGGGAGACACACGGCGGGUGCUAACGUCCGUCGUGGAGAGGGAAACAACCCAGACCGCCAGCUAAGGUCCCAAAGUCAUGGUUAAGUGGGAAACGAUGUGGGAAGGCCCAGACAGCCAGGAUGUUGGCUUAGAAGCAGCCAUCAUUUAAAGAAAGCGUAAUAGCUCACUGGUCGAGUCGGCCUGCGCGGAAGAUGUAACGGGGCUAAACCAUGCACCGAAGCUGCGGCAGCGACGCUUAUGCGUUGUUGGGUAGGGGAGCGUUCUGUAAGCCUGCGAAGGUGUGCUGUGAGGCAUGCUGGAGGUAUCAGAAGUGCGAAUGCUGACAUAAGUAACGAUAAAGCGGGUGAAAAGCCCGCUCGCCGGAAGACCAAGGGUUCCUGUCCAACGUUAAUCGGGGCAGGGUGAGUCGACCCCUAAGGCGAGGCCGAAAGGCGUAGUCGAUGGGAAACAGGUUAAUAUUCCUGUACUUGGUGUUACUGCGAAGGGGGGACGGAGAAGGCUAUGUUGGCCGGGCGACGGUUGUCCCGGUUUAAGCGUGUAGGCUGGUUUUCCAGGCAAAUCCGGAAAAUCAAGGCUGAGGCGUGAUGACGAGGCACUACGGUGCUGAAGCAACAAAUGCCCUGCUUCCAGGAAAAGCCUCUAAGCAUCAGGUAACAUCAAAUCGUACCCCAAACCGACACAGGUGGUCAGGUAGAGAAUACCAAGGCGCUUGAGAGAACUCGGGUGAAGGAACUAGGCAAAAUGGUGCCGUAACUUCGGGAGAAGGCACGCUGAUAUGUAGGUGAAGUCCCUCGCGGAUGGAGCUGAAAUCAGUCGAAGAUACCAGCUGGCUGCAACUGUUUAUUAAAAACACAGCACUGUGCAAACACGAAAGUGGACGUAUACGGUGUGACGCCUGCCCGGUGCCGGAAGGUUAAUUGAUGGGGUCAGCGCAAGCGAAGCUCUUGAUCGAAGCCCCGGUAAACGGCGGCCGUAACUAUAACGGUCCUAAGGUAGCGAAAUUCCUUGUCGGGUAAGUUCCGACCUGCACGAAUGGCGUAAUGAUGGCCAGGCUGUCUCCACCCGAGACUCAGUGAAAUUGAACUCGCUGUGAAGAUGCAGUGUACCCGCGGCAAGACGGAAAGACCCCGUGAACCUUUACUAUAGCUUGACACUGAACAUUGAGCCUUGAUGUGUAGGAUAGGUGGGAGGCUUAGAAGUGUGGACGCCAGUCUGCAUGGAGCCGACCUUGAAAUACCACCCUUUAAUGUUUGAUGUUCUAACGUUGACCCGUAAUCCGGGUUGCGGACAGUGUCUGGUGGGUAGUUUGACUGGGGCGGUCUCCUCCUAAAGAGUAACGGAGGAGCACGAAGGUUGGCUAAUCCUGGUCGGACAUCAGGAGGUUAGUGCAAUGGCAUAAGCCAGCUUGACUGCGAGCGUGACGGCGCGAGCAGGUGCGAAAGCAGGUCAUAGUGAUCCGGUGGUUCUGAAUGGAAGGGCCAUCGCUCAACGGAUAAAAGGUA
rnacentral:rRNA from 1 species